AGAUGUCCAGAUGAGGCCUGAUGUCACAAAGUUAAUGAAUGUGAUCAACAAAUCCCCAUUCUUAAAGACACAUGAUAGAAUACUUUUGGACUGGGUUUUUCCUCGUCAUCCCUCUUCAGAGAAACAAUUGAACACCACAUAAUUGUGCAAGAGGGCGAACCGUCUACACUCUAUCCAACCCUACAGCUGAUGGACAUGAGGAACAACAAGAGGGUUCCGUGUGGUCAAAAAAGACGGAGUAGGCAUGUGUUGGUACACACUUCUUGAUGAGGCCUUCAUGACAGCCUUCAGUAUGUUUUAACAUUAGGUUUGGUGUUUAAGUUCUAAAGGAAUUCCAAAUGCAUUCCACCUGUUAAUAUAUUAUUUAAAUAUCUAUACAGGAUUCAUAUCUGAUAUAUAGGUUAUGAAGUUGCAUUUUUUCAAUGUUUUUUACUGUAUACCUAAAAUUUGUCAUGCUUAUUGUUUAAAUGUACGAAGUAUACACUGGUCGCGUAUUUAGCAUUUAAAACAGUUUAAUGAACGGCUCAAUAACUGAGAGAAUUGUAUCUUACCUUGGAUUUGAGUUGUACAUUUGUAUUUUUUUAGGUAAGGUUUUACUCAGAAAGUUAUGGUGUGUUUGUUGGAUUAGUGAAUGGCUACUUAGACUGCUUUUUGUCGUGUGCUGGAACUUUAUAUAAUUUCUAUCAGAACAACACAUGAAUUAAAAUGCACUGUAAAGGGGUUGGUUAACAUGUAAAAGAUGGAUUUUUCCAAGAUGUUAACUAAUUAUUUCAAUAAAUGUUGCUGAAUAACUGUAAA